rnacentral:rRNA from 1 species
UUUUCCGGUUGAUCCUGCCGGACCUGACUGCUAUCGGAUUGGUACUAAGCCAUGCGAGUCAUUGUACAAUACAAGGCGGACGGCUCAGUAACACGUAGUCAACCUAACUCGUGGACGUGGAUAACCUCGGGAAACUGAGAAUAAACCACGAUAGAUCAUAGUGCCUGGAAUGGCUUAUGGUCCAAACAGUUUACUGCCAUGGGAUGGGACUGCGGCCUAUCAGCUUGUUGGUGAGGUAAUGGCCCACCAAGGCGAUUACAGGUACGGGCUCUGAGAGGAGAAGCCCGGAGAUGGGUACUGAGACACGGACCCAGGCCCUAUGGGGCGCAGCAGGCGAGAAACCUUAGCAAUGUGCGAAAGCACGACUGGGUCAGUCCGAGUGAUUCCUGAUAAAGGAGUCUUUUGCCUGUCCUAAAAGCACAGGUGAAUAAGGGGUGGGCAAGUCUGGUGUCAGCCGCCGCGGUAAUACCAGCACCUCGAGUGGUCAGGACGUUUAUUGGGCCUAAAGCAUCCGUAGCCGGCUCUGCAAGUCUUCGGUUAAAUCCACCUGCUCAACAGAUGGGCCGCUGGAGAUACUACAGAGCUAGGGAGUGGGAGAGG